GACGAACGCUGGCGGCGUGCUUAACACAUGCAAGUCGAACGGAAAGGCCCUGCUUUUGUGGGGUGCUCGAGUGGCGAACGGGUGAGUAACACGUGAGUAACCUGCCCUUGACUUUGGGAUAACUUCAGGAAACUGGGGCUAAUACCGGAUAGGAGCUCCUGCUGCAUGGUGGGGGUUGGAAAGUUUCGGCGGUUGGGGAUGGACUCGCGGCUUAUCAGCUUGUUGGUGGGGUAGUGGCUUACCAAGGCUUUGACGGGUAGCCGGCCUGAGAGGGUGACCGGCCAAAAUGGGAAGUGGGAAAGGCCCAGAACCCCAAGGGGAGGAAGAGGUGGGAAAAAUGGAAAAAGGGAGGGAGCCUGAUGGAGCAAAGCCGGGUGGGGGAUGACGGCCUUUGGGGUGUAAAACGCUUUCGCCUGUGACGAAGCGUGAAUGAAGGUAAAGGGUAAAGAAGCACCGGCUAACUACGUG
rnacentral:rRNA from 1 species